CGAUUCCGGAGAGGGAGCCUGAGAAACGGCUACCACAUCUAAGGAAGGCAGCAGGCGCGCAAAUUACCCAAUCCUAAUACAGGGAGGUAGUGACAAGAAAUAACAAUACAGGACUUUAAAUAGUUUUGUAAUUGGAAUGAGUUAAGUAUAAACCCCUUUACAAGUAUCAAUUGGAGGGCAAGUCUGGUGCCAGCAGCCGCGGUAAUUCCAGCUCCAAUAGCGUAUAUUAAAGUUGUUGCAGUUAAAAAGCUCGUAGUUGGAUUUCUGUUAAUAAUUUAUAUAUAAUAUUUUAUUAAUAUUUAUAUAGUAUUAACAUAAUUCAUAUUACUAUAUUUUAUAGUAUAUGAAAUUUUACUUUGAGAAAAUUAGAGUGCUUAAAGCAGGCAUUAGCCUUGAAUACUCCAGCAUGGAAUAAUAUAAAAGAUUUUUAUCUUUUUUAUUGGUUCUAAGAUAAAAAUAAUGAUUAAUAGGGACAGUUGGGGGCA
rnacentral:rRNA from 1 species